rnacentral:rRNA from 1 species
GAACGCUAGCGGCAGGCCUAACACAUGCAAGUCGAGGGGUAGAGACUAGCUUGCUGCUUUGAGACCGGCGCACGGGUGCGUAACGCGUAUGCAAUCUACCUUAUACUAAGGGAUAGCCCGGAGAAAUCCGGAUUAAUACCUUAUGGUUUUUAUGAAUAGCAUUAUUUAUAGAAUAAAGAUUUAUCGGUAUAAGAUGAGCAUGCGUCCCAUUAGUUAGUUGGUGUGGUAACGGCACACCAAGACGAUGAUGGGUAGGGGUCCUGAGAGGGAGAUCCCCCACACUGGUACUGAGACACGGACCAGACUCCUACGGGAGGCAGCAGUGAGGAAUAUUGGUCAAUGGAGGCAACUCUGAACCAGCCAUGCCGCGUGCAGGAUGACGGUCCUAUGGAUUGUAAACUGCUUUUGUACGGGAAGAAAAAGAGCUACGUGUAGUUUAUUGACGGUACCGUAAGAAUAAGGAUCGGCUAAC